UACGUAGGUGGCAAGCGUUGUCCGGAUUUAUUGGGCGUAAAGAGCGUGUAGGCGGCCUGGAAGGUCAGCUGUGAAAACUCGAGGCUCAACCUCGAGACGUCGGUUGAAACCACCUGGCUAGAGUCCGGAAGAGGAGAGUGGAAUUCCCGGUGUAGCGGUGAAAUGCGCAGAUAUCGGGAAGAACACCCGUGGCGAAGGCGGCUCUCUGGGACGGUACUGACGCUGAGACGCGAAAGCGUGGGGAGCGAACAGG
rnacentral:rRNA from 1 species